rnacentral:rRNA from 1 species
UACGGAGGAUCCGAGCGUCAUCCGGAUUUAUUGGGUUUAAAGGGAGCGUAGGCGGGUUGUUAAGUCAGUUGUGAAAGUUUGCGGCUCAACCGUAAAAUUGCAGUUGAUACUGGCAUCCUUGAGUACAGUAGAGGUAGGCGGAAUUCGUGGUGUAGCGGUGAAAUGCUUAGAUAUCACGAAGAACUCCGAUUGCGAAGGCAGCCUGCUGGACUGUAACUGACGCUGAUGCUCGAAAGUGUGGGUAUCAAACAGG